rnacentral:rRNA from 1 species
UUAAUUGAAGAGUUUGAUCAUGGCUCAGAUUGAACGCUGGCGGCAGGCCUAACACAUGCAAGUCGAGCGGAAACGGCAGUAUUGAAGCUUYGGUGGAUUUACUGGACGUCGAGCGGCGGACGGGUGAGUAACGGCUGGGAACCUGCCCUGAYGAGGGGGAUAACCGUUGGAAACGACGGCUAAUACCGCAUAAUGUCUACGGACCAAAGGUGGCCUCUACAUGUAAGCUAUCGCGUUGGGAUGGGCCCAGUUAGGAUUAGCUAGUUGGUAAGGUAAUGGCUUACCAAGGCRACGAUCCUUAGCUGGUUUGAGAGGAUGAUCAGCCACACUGGGACUGAGACACGGCCCAGACUCCUACGGGAGGCAGCAGUGGGGAAUAUUGCACAAUGGGGGAGACC